rnacentral:antisense_RNA from 1 species
AACCUUCCCUCCGGGGUUCAAGCAAUUCUCCUGCCUCAGUCUCCAGGCACGCGUGACCAUGUCCAGCUAAUUUUUGUAUUUUUAGUAGAGACGGG